rnacentral:rRNA from 1 species
GACGAAUGCUGGCGGCGUGCUUAACGCAUGCAAGUCGAACGGAAAGGCCCUGCUUUUGUGGGGUGCUCGAGUGGCGAACGGGUGAGUAACACGUGAGUAACCUGCCCUUGACUUUGGGAUAACUUCAGGAAACUGGGGCUAAUACCGGAUAGGAGCUCCUGCUGCAUGGUGGGGGUUGGAAAGUUUCGGCGGUUGGGGAUGGACUCGCGGCUUAUCAGCUUGUUGGUGGGGUAGUGGCUUACCAAGGCUUUGACGGGUAGCCGGCCUGAGAGGGUGACCGGCCACAUUGGGACUGAGAUACGGCCCAGACUCCUACGGGAGGCAGCAGUGGGGAAUAUUGCACAAUGGGCGGAAGCCUGAUGCAGCAACGCCGCGUGCGGGAUGACGGCCUUCGGGUUGUAAACCGCUUUCGCCUGUGACGAAGCGUGAGUGACGGUAAUGGGUAAAGAAGCACCGGCUAACUACGUG